ACAAUUCAUGUGUGUAAUCAAAAUGAAAUUGCAAGAAAGUAAAUUGUUUCAAAUCACUCGUCUGUCUUUAAUUAAUGAUUAAUGUCUAUUUGUUUUCUAUAAAAUGUGGGCGACGAUUACUUUAUCUAUCUGGACACUUGAUGAUCAAUCAUUGUUUACAAGUUUAUUGGUUGAUUAUCAUGGGUCACUGUAUUACCUGAUGAAUGGAUAACUAGGAAACAUAAUUAAUGAUAAACAUCAACAUAAUUAUCAAACGGUUCAAUGGAAACACCAGAAGGGAAAUUAUUCAAUUGAAAAUCCAUACCUUGGCAACUAUUAUCAAAUAUUCUCAUGAGUUAAUUUUACCAAUGAAUCCCUAAAAGAGUCCAACAAAUAAUUGUAAAUGAAAGAGGGUGAACAAAACAACAAAGAUUCUCAAAGUGGGAGCAUUAAAAUGAAAACAAGAUGAUGACAAUGAUGAUAAUUAUUGAUUGGCCUAGCUGGAUGGCAAAACCGUGAAAAUUUUAAUGUAAAGGUAGCAGAAUUUUUAGGCAACAAUCAAAGAGGAGCAAAAUCAAAGCCAAAAAAACAAAAAACAACAUUCAGUGAUGAUUAUGUCCAAGGUUCAUUUAUAUUGAAUUUGGAAAUUCACUCUUUACGGAGAUUUCACCUGUGUAGCUACAGUUUUUGUUUCGUCUUUUACAUGUGCUUCAAACGGUAAACUAUUUCAUGUGACAACUUUGUUUCUUCAGUUGACUUUUGUUAAUCUCUUAAUUUUGUGUAAAUUGUUUGCAAAAGCGUUAAACCUGGACCUAUUAAAGAUUGAAGACUUUUUCAGUCUCAUUUGAGAUGCUCAA